rnacentral:rRNA from 1 species
UUCCGGUUGACCCUGCCGGACCCGACUGCUAUCGGAUUGAGAUUUAGCCAUGCGAGUCGAACGUCCCCCUGUUGCGGGGGGCGUGGCGUACGGCUCAGUAACACGUAGUCAACCUGCCCUGGAGACGAGGACAACCCCGGGAAACUGGGAUUAAUCCUUGAUAGGUCAUCUCAUCUGGAAGGAGAGAUGGCUUAAAGGGGUACGCGGGCUUCUUCGCGAAUCUGCUCCAGGAUGGGACUGCGUCCGAUCAGGCUGUUGGCGGGGUAAUGGCCCACCAAACCUGUAACCGGUACGGGCCUUGAGAGAGGUGGCCCGGAGAUGGACACUGAGAGAAGGGUCCAGGUCCUACGGGGCGCAGCAGGCGCGAAACCUUCGCAAUGCGCGAAAGCGUGACGAGGUUAAUCCGAGUGACUCCCGCUGAGGGGGUCUUUUGUCAGCUGUAAAUAGGCAGGCGAAUAAGGGGAGGGCAAGCCUGGUGUCAGCCGCCGCGGUAAUACCAGCUCCUCGAGUGGUCGGGGCGAUUAUUGGGCCUAAAGCAUCCGUAGCCGGUUCCGUAGGUCCUCUGUUAAAUCCAACCGCUUAACGGUUGACCUGCAGAGGAUACCGCGGGACUAGGAGGCGGGAGAGGCGGACGGUACUCCGCGUGUAGGGGUAAAAUCCUUUGAUCCGCGGAAGACCACCAGUGGCGAAGGCGGUCCGCCAGAACGCGCUCGACGUGAGGGAUGAAAGCUGGGGGAGCGAACCGGAUUAGAUACCCGGGUAGUCCCAG